AGCCUACAUAAGAAAAUGUUUGUACCAAAUUAGAUGUGUUUGAGCUUUUGAUUUUUGCCAUUUGAUUAGGGACUUUCUGUUUUGAAUUUUCCUUAGAGUUCAGUAUUUUUGUGAUUUACUUUUUAGACAUCAAUAUUUUUUUUGAAAUGUCUAAAAUAUUGGCCUUCAAGCAUUAAACUUCUUACAUUAAGUGAAUAACAGCCAAAAAAAGUCUAAAUAGCCUCAUUUUGAAUUGUUUUUCAUUAAUUUUAGAUAUGAGCAAACAGCUUUACCUGAAAUUAUAUAUCCAACUACAAAAUGUAGUUUUCAAAAUGUAUGUGUGAAAUGGUAAUUUUAUAGUCAAAUAUGUACAUUUCAACAUGUUAAUGAUGUCUUAGUGACAUCACUAGUGACCUUUUGACUUUUAAAGUGUCCAUAUUAUAUAGAUCUGUUCAUUUAUUAUUAAGAUGAACAAAAUUUUGAAAGGCAUGGAUAAUUUAACAAUAUUUGCAAUUUCAGGGGCCACAUGAUGGCUCAUAUUAUACUUCCUCCUUUGCAAAGACUCUAUUUUGUAUGUGCCAUAGUUGAUUACGAUGAAUUUGUAUUAGAUUUUAUAAGUUAUACCAUUUAUCAUUGUCAGAGAUAUAAAACAUAGAAUGAGAAUGGAGGUAUACAUGUAUUUGUGUGGUGUUAUAAGUUACAAAGAUUUUAUUAGUUCAACACAUGGCCAUAUUUUAGUGUAAAAGUGACAUUUCUGAAUAUUUUUUUUAUGAAAUUUUACUAAUAUUUGUGAAAUACCACUGGAAUUUUAAACACUUUUAUCAAAUGAUAACAGAAAACCUGUCAAAGUUUGCUCUCAUUUAAGAAGAAUAGUAAACAAUUGUGAGUAGAAUCUUUAUUCUAAAAGGGGCAAAUAUACACGAAUAUAUAUGCAAUAAGCCUUGGUUUUAUAGUGAGUUUGAGAUACAUUUUUAAACUGUUUUUGUUGUCACUGAUGACUUUGAAAAUUUAAAGCUAUUUUUGCAUUAUCAGAAUAUUGCACAAUAAAGUUUAGAACUUGAACUGGCCUUUAUCAAUGUUAAUUCAUUUAUAUGGUCCAAUAAAUAAUGGAUUAUUGAUUUGUCUGCAUGAGAAGGUAAUAAAUAAAAUGUCUCCUGCUGAGUCAUGGGAUAGAGUACAUUAUUUCCCUAAUAUAAGCCAAUCAAAACCUUGCAUUUUAGUGUCAAGUGUAUUCAUGCGAACCCAAUGAAAGAUUUCUACAGAGUCGUCUGCUCUUGACCAAGGUUUUAAAACUUUUUUCUGUUCUGUUUUCCCAUUACCGACAGUGCAAGAGUUGUAAUGCCAGUCAAGGUUGUUAAAAACUUCCAUCAAUGUCUCGUUGGAUAAAUACAAUAGCUAAUGUUCUCUGUGUAGUUUAUUCACCUGGACCUUUAAAUUUCUUCUUCAUCUAUUUAUUAGAUGGGACAAAAGAACUUACAAAAGUUUAAAUUAACAGGUAACUUUCAGGUGAAUUUGUGAAAAAGUAUCAUUGGGUUGGCUUAGUGAUAGGACAGAGCAUAUAAUAGAGGGCUUAUCUUUUUUUGACCUAAAUUUUCUUGUGUGCAUAUUUUAUUCCACAUAUUGUUCUGGUCCCCUGUUUUGGAGUGUUAGACUGGUUCUACUGUAUUCAAUGUGAGUGACAGGUACCCACAUCUACAUUUUAAAGAAGGAGUGUCAUUCUCAGGCUAAAAUAUGGUCAUACACUGUAAAUAUUGAAAAUGUCUUUCAAUUGCUUUUGACAGGUCAGUAUUUUGAUGGAGAUCAGAAAUUCUAAAUGCUUCUUAAAUAACUAUGUUUUAGAAUGUGUGGCAGCUUUAAUUUUAUUUUGAAAUAAGUAUGCAUAUUUUUAUAUCAUUAGAUUGAGUAUUUCUGAAAAGGGAAACUUUUGAAAUACUGAUAUGUUUCAUAUUUGUUACCACAUUUUACUUAAAUUAGUUCAAAGUUCAGAGUAAUGAGAUGUAAAGAGAAUAUUCAUCUAAUUUUAACAUAUAUUUUAUCAUGUUUAUGUUUAAUUGUUUUAUGAUAAUAUUUGACCUGAAUCAAACCAAAGUUGUGUAAGUUUUACUUAUUAUUUAUUGCAUGGUUGAUGUCCACAAUUAAUGUUUUCAUAAAAGUCUAAAUGAUUAUGGUAAAUACUUGAAUUUCUUGAGCAAAGAGAUAAGUCAAUACACCUCCAUACAGAUGAAAUGUAAAAAUAAGAUUUUUUAAAGUUCAGAAACAAUCUUGAAACUAUGCUGCAUAUUUAAAAUGAAUUCAUAAUGUAUCUUGCGUUUCCUCUUUGAAUUAAAUCUAUGAGAAACUGGUUAUUAAGGUGAUACAUAACACUACAGGGAGAUAUCUCUGUAAAAAUCAGCUGAACGUUUAAUCCUGUUUUAUUGGUAAGGAAAUAUAAAGCUUCUCCCUGAUCAAAAUUAGUGUUUGUCAAAUGACUAUAUAUCCAAUGAAUGUUUUCCAAUAAAGUGUCUGGUUAAUUUUUUUUGAAAAUUUUACAUUUUUGUGAAAGGGUCAAAGGAAUAAUGUAAAAAUUUUAGGAACAUUAAACAAGCCAAAUUAUUUUUUUCACAAGGUGUUUGGUACCACCUUAAAGCUAUUUGAUAGCAGUUUUAAGAAUUGACAUUAUCUGUGAAUGUCUAAUAUGAUUAAAUUCUUAUUCAAACUCAUCUAUAUAUCUUAGUGUUUGUUGUUAGUAAGAUGAAAGGGAACAAAUAUAUUUAUUUCAUUGGUGCUAUUUUUGAUAUUAUUUGUGUUUUAUAUUUAUAAAAUCAUUAAGAGAUUGUUAUAGCUAUAAGACUGUUAUUUUUUAUGUGUGUAGUGUAUUUUGUUUAAUAUUGUCUGAUCUUGAAAAAGAAACCUACGAAAUUUUAUAUUAAUAUUAUAUGGUUAAAAUUCCAUACUAAAAUCAUUCAUAUCAUGCCAAAAUUUCUAUGAUUUCACCAGUUAGAUUUUAAACUUGCAUACACAAUAGGGUUGAAAUGGUGUUUUUUUUUUUUAAAUAUUAACCAAUUUUGAUUUUUUUAGUUGCCUGCUUUAAUUUUUUGAUACUGUAUUUGUAGCUUUACUAUCUAUCAUUUAUAAUUACAUGGAUAGUGUCUAUUGUGAUGCAGACAAUCUCAAUAAACCAUUUAAA
rnacentral:lncRNA from 1 species